rnacentral:rRNA from 1 species
UACGGAGGGGGCUAGCGUUGUUCGGAAUUACUGGGCGUAAAGCGCACGUAGGCGGCUUUGUAAGUUAGAGGUGAAAGCCCGGAGCUCAACUCCGGAACUGCCUUUAAGACUGCAUCGCUUGAACGUCGGAGAGGUAAGUGGAAUUCCGAGUGUAGAGGUGAAAUUCGUAGAUAUUCGGAAGAACACCAGUGGCGAAGGCGACUUACUGGACGACUGUUGACGCUGAGGUGCGAAAGCGUGGGGAGCGAACAGG